CAGCUCUUUUCAUAGCAAUUUAAAACUCUUACAGGAAUGUUGCUCAGCUUGCAAAAGUACAAGUCAUGAAGAAACAUGGUUCGUGGGAAGACCUCAAACUAGCACCCAGCAUAAGGUCGAUCGUUUGUCUCAACUUGCCUACUUUUUCCGGUGGUCUAAAUCUUUGGGGAAUGCCGAGUCGGAGAAGGCGGUGUAAUAAAGACUUCACUCCACCUUAUGUAGAUGACGGCCUUCUCCAA